rnacentral:rRNA from 1 species
CACUCCUACGGGAGGCAGCAGUGGGGAAUAUUGGACAAUGGGCGCAAGCCUGAUCCAGCCAUGCCGCGUGAGUGAUGAAGGCCCUAGGGUUGUAAAGCUCUUUCACCGGUGAAGAUAAUGACGGUAACCGGAGAAGAAGCCCCGGCUAACUUCGUGCCAGCAGCCGCGGUAAUACGAAGGGGGCUAGCGUUGUUCGGAUUUACUGGGCGUAAAGCGCACGUAGGCGGACUAUUAAGUCAGGGGUGAAAUCCCGGGGCUCAACCCCGGAACUGCCUUUGAUACUGGUAGUCUUGAGUUCGAGAGAGGUGAGUGGAAUUCCGAGUGUAGAGGUGAAAUUCAUAGAUAUUCGGAGGAACACCAGUGGCGAAGGCGGCUCACUGGCUCGAUACUGACGCUGAGGUGCGAAAGCGUGGGGAGCAAACAGGAUUAGAUACCCCGGUAGUCCCAUG